AUACGGAGGUUCCAAGCGUUGUUCGGAAUUAUUGAGCGUAAAGCGCGCGUAGGCGGCUUGGCAAGUCGGAUGUGAAAGCCCGGGGCUCAACCCCGGAAUUGCAUUCGAAACUGCUUGGCUAGAGUCUCGGAGAGGAGGGCGGAAUUCCCGGUGUAGAGGUGAAAUUCGUAGAUAUCGGGAGGAACACCAGUGGCGAAGGCGGCCCUCUGGACGAUGACUGACGCUGAGGUGCGAAAGCGUGGGGAGCAAACAGGAUUAGAAACCCCAGUAGUCC
rnacentral:rRNA from 1 species